rnacentral:lncRNA from 1 species
UGUUGCGGAAGCGACGAUAAUAUUAAUAACAAUAUUAUCAGAAAUAUUUAGAUAAUUAUUAUGCCAACAAUUAUACUAAGAAAAUUCCCAGUUAAAUUGGAGGGGUCACAAUGGUCCCGCUUAAAACCCAACAACUAGACAAAACUCACUUAGAUAUUUAUAGCAAUAAUAACUAAAUAAAUAUAACCAACAUAAAGCUAUUAAAUAUAAGCAAACAAAUAAGAAAUAAAAUACUGGAGAUUUAACGAGGUUCGGCCAAUUUAGCUUACAUCCUCGGACACUACCAAAUUAAUAUUUCUUCUAGAAAUAUUACAAAGGAGAAGAUUUUGGGAUGAUACAACCAAAGGGGGAGGGGUUCUAUAUAUAACAAACCAAACCCCCUCCCUUUCUAUCUUUUCCUAAUGUGGGAUAUUGCCAAUAUUCAACAAA